AGAACGAACGCUGGCGGCAGGCUUAACACAUGCAAGUCGAGCGCCCCGCAAGGGGAGCGGCAGACGGGUGAGUAACGCGUGGGAACGUACCCCCCGGUUCGGAAUAACUCAGGGAAACUUGAGCUAAUACCGGAUACGGCUGGAAGGCGAAAGAUUCAUCGCCGGGGGGAUCGGCCCGCGUCCGAUUAGCUAGUUGGUGUGGUAACGGCGCACCAAGGCGACGAUCGGUAGCUGGUCUGAGAGGAUGAUCAGCCACAUUGGGACUGAGACACGGCCCAAACUCCUACGGGAGGCAGCAGUGGGGAAUAUUGGACAAUGGGCGCAAGCCUGAUCCAGCCAUGCCGCGUGAGUGAUGAGGCCUUAGGGUUGUAAAGCUCUUUCACCACGACGAUAAUGACGGUAGUGGGAGAAGAGCCCGGCUACUUCGUGCCAGCAGCCGC
rnacentral:rRNA from 1 species